GAUUGUCUCCCCUGUAUGACCUUGCUCCCUCAACGACAACGUGCUUCCUGUAUUACUGAACAGCUCGUCGUUAAUUAAAAUAGAAGAGCUUGUACGAUGAUUCGUCUGUCUUCCAGCAGAGGGGCAGCAGGAGAUCCAGAAAUGGAGAGAAGGCGGAUAGAGACGGAGAAAGAACAAGCUCGGUUCAUGACGGUCCAGAAUAUUGUGCUGUUUGCAACUUCAUGCGGAAUAAUCAGGGCAUUGCCGUGGAUAAUAAACCAACUAAAUUCUUGUUGAAUGUGCCAGCUGGAUCAAGGACUGAAGAGAGAUCUGGAACAUGUUCAGUCACUAAUGACAAGAAGGGCCCUGUGAAAUCAUGGAAUAGUAAUGAUGGCAAUUGUUAAAGCAUACUUUUAUUAUUUAAAGCAUUGCAAACCAAGGGAUUACACUGUUAUGUCUUUCUAUAUGCUAUACAAAUAAAAUGGUGAAGUAUAAACAUGA